rnacentral:rRNA from 1 species
GGGGCCUGGCGGCNUGCUAUACAUGCAGUAGAACGCUGAAGAGAGGAGCUUGCUCUUCUUGGAUGAGUUGCGAACGGGUGAGUAACGCGUAGGUAACCUGCCUUGUAGCGGGGGAUAACUAUUGGAAACGAUAGCUAAUACCGCAUAACAAUGGAUGACACAUGUCAUUUAUUUGAAAGGGGCAAUUGCUCCACUACAAGAUGGACCUGCGUUGUAUUAGCUAGUAGGUGAGGUAAUGGCUCACCUAGGCGACGAUACAUAGCCGACCUGAGAGGGUGAUCGGCCACACUGGGACUGAGACACGGCCCAGACUCCUACGGGAGGCAGCAGUAGGGAAUCUUCGGCAAUGGGGGCAACCCUGACCGAGCAACGCCGCGUGAGUGAAGAAGGUUUUCGGAUCGUAAAGCUCUGUUGUAAGUCAAGAACGGGUGUGAGAGUGGAAAGUUCACACUGUGACGGUAGCUUACCAGAAAGGGACGGCUAACUACGUGCCAGCAGCCGCGGUAAUACGUAGGUCCCGAGCGUUGUCCGGAUUUAUUGGGCGUAAAGCGAGCGCAGGCGGUUUGAUAAGUCUGAAGUUAAAGGCUGUGGCUCAACCAUAGUUCGCUUUGGAAACUGUCAAACUUGAGUGCAGAAGGGGAGAGUGGAAUUCCAUGUGUAGCGGUGAAAUGCGUAGAUAUAUGGAGGAACACCGGUGGCGAAAGCGGCUCUCUGGUCUGUAACUGACGCUGAGGCUCGAAAGCGUGGGGAGCGAACAGGAUUAGAUACCCUGGUAGUCCACGCCGUAAACGAUGAGUGCUAGGUGUUGGAUCCUUUCCGGGAUUCAGUGCCGCAGCUAACGCAUUAAGCACUCCGCCUGGGGAGUACGACCGCAAGGUUGAAACUCAAAGGAAUUGACGGGGGCCCGCACAAGCGGUGGAGCAUGUGGUUUAAUUCGAAGCAACGCGAAGAACCUUACCAGGUCUUGACAUCCCGAUGCUAUUUCUAGAGAUAGAAAGUUACUUCGGUACAUCGGUGACAGGUGGUGCAUGGUUGUCGUCAGCUCGUGUCGUGAGAUGUUGGGUUAAGUCCCGCAACGAGCGCAACCCCUAUUGUUAGUUGCCAUCAUUCAGUUGGGCACUCUAGCGAGACUGCCGGUAAUAAACCGGAGGAAGGUGGGGAUGACGUCAAAUCAUCAUGCCCCUUAUGACCUGGGCUACACACGUGCUACAAUGGUUGGUACAACGAGUUGCGAGUCGGUGACGGCGAGCUAAUCUCUUAAAGCCAAUCUCAGUUCGGAUUGUAGGCUGCAACUCGCCUACAUGAAGUCGGAAUCGCUAGUAAUCGCGGAUCAGCACGCCGCGGUGAAUACGUUCCCGGGCCUUGUACACACCGCCCGUCACACCACGAGAGUUUGUAACACCCGAAGUCGGUGAGGUAACCUUUGGAGCCAGCCGCCUAAGGUGACAGAUGAGGGG